CAGUUUCCAGAAAUGCUCAGGGGCUGGGGAUUCCCCACCUGUGCAGAACCAAGUAGGCAACUUCUGACAGGGAAGCAGCCGCCUUCAGGCUUGCCCUUGUCACAGGGCCCUGACACUGAGGGUGUGGGGGCCGGGAGCUGCCCUGGGUGAAAACACCACAGACUCUCAUUGGUCUCCCUCAGCCUCAGAUGCUCCUCGGUGGGUUGUGUGCCUUCGGUCUCUUGGCAGAGUGCUGACCUGGUGGUUUUCUGCCGGCUUCUCCAGUGUGGUCAUUGCUGUGCGGGAGGCGGAUUUGCUGAAUUCCUCGCUCCACCAUUCCGUGUGUCCUGCCAGCCCACCCUGAGGACGUUUGGAAGGCACAUCCUUCCAGCAAUCUGAGCACCCAAGAUGGAGACUCCGGGGCCUGGAGGAUUUUGAGAAGAGCUGGUGGGAAGGCAGUACUGCAAAGCUUUUUGCUUCCGGAAAGCUCUCUGGGGUCCUCAGCAUUUUCCUGUUUUGCAUCAAAAUCCUGAGAUCUUGAAAAUGCCAGCAAGGUUACAACGUGGGCCCCAAAAACCACUGUCUCUGGGCAUCCAACACCAAUCAAAUAUUCAGAAUUGCUUGUCACUUGAGAUGAGUGGAAAGGAAUCGGGCAGGUGGGGUGGAGGGGUGGUCUUGGACCCCACUUUGUGUUGGAAGGACAAAUGCCAUGCAGAUGAGUCUUUCUCUGGGCAGAAGGGCGGGACCUUUGUGGAGAGCCCAGCCGCAGACACUGCUGUGGUCGCACUCCUGUUCCCUCAGCCCACCUGAGUGCCCCUGCAGCUGGGAGCCAGUGCCCAGGAGACUGAUAGCGGCCCCCUGCAGUGCCUGCAUCCCUCCUCCCUGCCUGAGGGCUCUCCUGCCCCAUGGGCCCUCCCUCUCCUGCAAGGCUGUGCGGCCUUGUGCAGGAAUGCCCUGGGGUGUUCCCUCCACCUGAGGGGACCGAGCCAGUCCAGGCAGGACCUGGUCUCCUGCUGGGACAGAGUGAUGCUCACCACAGUGGUGCUGGUUCUUCAGGCCCCGCUAAGGCUUUAAUCCUCCAGGCUCACUCCCCGCAUCCUCCCUCAGGCUUCCUGGGAAGACCUGCAAACAAUUUCCCCUCCAUCCUCCUCUGCAUGGGUACCAAACUCUGCUGAGACGCCACACUGGCUGUGUCUUUGGACAGGCUGUACAGCCUUCUGGACUUGAGCUUCCUCGCCUGGAAGAUGCUGACAAAUGGCCUCCCUCAGGGAGUCAUCAGGGGGGACCCAGUGUGUGACGAUGGAAACCACUGCAAAGAACGACGCCAAGUGAUCCUAAGUGAAAGUGCCAGCCUUGCAAAAGAAGCAGGAGCUCAUGAGGCCCAGGGGGGAAUGCGGGAAGCCUGUCCCAAUGGCGCGGACAGUCCCGGAUGGAUGAGGGUGGCCUCGCAGGGCAGGCCCCCGAGCAGCAGAAGAGCCAUUGGAUGAGGAGGGACCAGGACAGAGGCUUCCAAGGAGGAAGAUUGAAGUGCUAGGAGGUGAAAGAGGCCUUAGGAAAAGUGUGAGCCCUAGAAGAUGUUUCCUCAAAUGCCAUUGUUGGUCAGAAAAAUGGUGUCACCAAGCCCCAAUCCAUUAGAUUUCUUCUUUGUUGGUUUUAGGAAUCAGUGCACACUUGUAAUCAGAGCCCAUGUUUUGUUCAACAUAGGGCAUAUUUCUUUGUCCUAACUUUUCCUUCUUUUCUUGUUCUAGCAGAGGAGCCGUGCACGUCUUCUCUCCAUUCUUUCCUGUGCAUGACUGGCCUCCUCUGUUCAGAAGCGGAUUGCUGGUGCUCAUCACUCCCCCUCACCCGAGAGAUGGCCGUCUUCCAUGUCACACAGCAGAUGUGAACCGCGGGGACAAGGGUCACGCCAGGUCACACUCACUGGCUCACAGCAGAGAAGGAGACCUUGAAGGUCAGAGAGUGACCGACAGCGGAACACCGUGUUGACGUCAUGCGCCAGAAUCUCCCCCUCUGGGGAUAUGUCCUCCAGGAUCAGAGAUUGAGGGAGGCUGAUGUUCCCAUCAGCGUGAGGAGGGGAGAGGAAAGUCAGAAACGGGGCACGUUCCACAUCGGGGCCAUUUGGAAAUUCGGAUGCCAGGAUACCCAAGAGGAAGAGUGUUGUCUGACCAGGGUCCGCCCGUGAAGAAAUCAGAUCCAGAGGAGCACACGCCCUGCAGGCCUCCGCACUCAGCACCCACAGGAUGCACGCACUCUGACGCACACACCGGCAUAUCCAUGUGCACACACGCAGCACAGGUGUGAACAUGCAUCACCCCACACACAUGCACCCCCGCGCACGGGCACGCGGGCACACACACACACACACGCCCGCGCGCACACACAUGUGGACACCAAGGGAAAGGACUGGAAAGGUGAAGACCACCCGCGAAGGGCACUCCUGAGUUGCCACUUCCUUAAUUCUUCAGUCUCUUAAAAUUCAUUAUCUUACUACAAUAAACGUUCACUGUCUUGGAAUAGAAAUCUUCAAAAAUAGAAACUAAAGAAUGUACUUUAUUCCAAAGGUGGAUCAUCAAUGGAUUUCAUUUAAGCUGUGAUAUUCACCUUUUUAGAAUUAGGAAAGGAAUACACGCACAUUCUAAGAACUUUCAACAUCCUGCCAGGAGCAGAUGAGAGACUGGAAAGUCGCGAGCCCCAUAAACAGUUUGGUGCAUAUCUCCCUGGUGUGGUUGCUCUCAUUCUGUCUCCUUCUGUCUGUCUCUCUCUCACACGCACAUUCAUUUUCAUAGAUGUCUGUCUCCCUGUUGAUGUCACAUAUCCGUGUUCUGACGGAUGGGCCGCACGGGUCCCAUUGCCUCUCCAUGAACCUGAGUUGUGUUCCCAACUCCCAGCCAUUGCAACCAGUGCUGUCAUGACUAUUGUUGAAAAGAUAUCUUGCAAACCUUGGGCAAGACCUCCUGUGGGCCACACUCCUGGCAUUCGCACUGCCAGCAAAGGUGGGGUCCUGGGGAACUUGGAAGGGUCCUGCAGGCUAUUCUCACAGAGAGCAGUGUCCUUUCCCCCUGCUCUCCAGGGAUCUGCGGGGGCCUCUGAUUCCCCAAAUUCUCACCAGGGUUGGUCGCAACCAGACCAGAAACCUGCCAGUCUGGUGGUGACCAAUGCCAUCUCCACGGUGUUUACGUUUGCACGUGUCCUCACGGGGGAGGUCGAGCAUCUCUGACAUAUGCUGUCCCUAUGUAUCGCCUCUCGGGGGAAUUGCGUGUGUUUACUCUCUGUCCCUUGAAAACAAGGACUUUCGGGAUUCUUUGGUCCAGAGGGAGGUUGCACCUUUCUCUCACCUUAGUUUAGGAGGAAGGCUUUCGAGUUUGUGGUUUGUCUUUCCAGCUGUCUCCCUUUUUAUUGCUUGUGUUUUGGCCACAGGAAGAACCAGGCACUUCCUGUGUGGCUUGGGGAUCUGGGGUCCCCCUUAGAGAGUGGUCUGUAGCCUGACAUAAUGCACAUGUUUACUAAAAGGGCUUCAUCUGAAGCAUCUAAGCCAUAAUCCAUUGGGACUUUCCUGUCAGCUGGCAAAAAUGCUAUUCAAGUAGAAAGAGAAAUGAAAAAUCGACCAGUCCUGAAAAUAUGGAAGCAGACUAGGAUGGCCACCUAUGGCAUGACACUGCUUAUCGGAUACAUCCAGAAAAGAUUGACCACAACCUGCCGGAACCCAGAUUAGGGGUUGUCAGGCAGCGAGGGAGGAACGGCGGAUGAGCACUUUGGGAACAGGCUUCCCUUGUGGUGAAGGGAAUGUUCAGCAACUGGACAGCGGCGAUGGAGGCCAAGCGUUGGGACUGGACUUAAUGCUCAGGAAUCGUACCAUUGAAAAGGAGAAAACGCAGAGUUCUUCAAACAGAAAUCAAUUAAUUUUAAAAUUUAUAGAAACACCAAACAAAGAGACAAACACGGAAAGAAAAAAAGGCUCAACAGACAUACAGGGGAAGCAGGGAGAGGAAGGGAGGUUGUGGUGAGGAAGAAGGUGAAAGGGAUGGGUCAGGAGCUGGGGAUGAUGGGCGUUGGAGAGUGAGCUCUCCCGAGGACAGGGCUGGGGCAUGAGCAGGCUCCAGGAUUCCAGGAGGAUGUGGAGCAGGGGAUGGCUGUCCGUGGUCUCCAGCUGUGGCUUCAGCUGGCUCGCUAGCCCCAGCAGGAGGCAGAUCAGUGGAUGGCUCUUUCUGGACCGUGGCUGGGGCUUCAGCAGUCUCCCAGGCACAGGCAGAAUCUGGAGCAGGGGAUGGCUCUCCCUCUUCCCUGGCUGCGACUUCAGCUUGCUCCUGGGCCCUGGCAGGAGCUGGAGCAGGGCAUGGCUCUCCCUGCUCCAUGGCUGAGUCUUCAGCCAGGCCAGAGUCCCAGCAGGAGCCGGAGCAGGGGAUGGCUCUCCCAGCUCCUGGGCCCUGUCUUCAGCUGGCUCCACAGCCCAGCAGGAGCUGAAAAGUCAAAGCCCGUGUCUUUCCAGUGCUGGCAGUCCCCCUCUCCCUCUCCCAAGCUCCGCUCACAAAGCCAACCUGUGGCUGUGACAGCAGUGCCCGGCUGUCCCCUGCCCUGGAUUACAAUGGGCACAGAUAUAUUGGGGGGUUUCCUGCCAACCUCUGCCCAGUGUCCACUCACAGAGUGGCAUCAAAACUUCCUCAGUCCCAGGACUGGCGUGCUCUGCUCUCAUCUGCGAGCUCCCCAAGGUCCCCUCUCUUAGCUGGGGCUGGGGAGGACCCUACAUGUCCCCACAUCCAGACCCAGUGGCUCAGAAAGGUGGCCCAAGAUGGCCAUGGGGUCCUAAAGGUCAGCCUGGGAGAUGCUGCCAGGAGGGUCCUGUGGUAGGUGGGCAAGUUUCUCUUGGUGCCAUCAGCUUGGGGUGGGGGCCACGACUUUCCUGUCUCUCCAGAGCCUUCUCUGCUGACCUCCAUGGCUUCCUCUGUCACCUCACAGGGGAUGAGCCCCACCAGACCCUGCAUUUCCUUGUGGACACCACACUGGUCACCGAGGCCAUGCUGCCCGGUGGGGAGGCCACAGUGGGCAUCUCUGAGUUCCCCAGCUCCCUCUCUUCCACCAGAGGCCUGUGGCCUGCAGAGGGUGGGAGGGGAGCCUGCUGGUGCUUGGGGGGCUCUGGAACCCCUGAAUCUUGAGAGUUGAGGUGUGCACACCUCUCCAGCUUGGAUGAGUGCCUGGGCAGAGGGCAGUGGCAUGGGCAGCACCUCUUGGGGGACUUGGGAGACCCCCGUGGAGGAUGGAGAUGCAGAGCCAGCCCCGCCCAACUCUCUGUGGGUGAGGACUGGGGCUGAGGGAGAAGGAGGUUUGUAGGGAACCAGGGGAGCCCAUGCCGAGGGUGGAGCCAGAGCAGACAUUUCUAAUUGGAGUGAGGGAAGCGGUGCCCAGGGCUCCCCCUGUCCCUGCCUCUCCCCUCCUUGGCUUUCACCACUCUGGACUGUACAGGGAUGGGGUGGGCGAGGGGCGAGGGGUGGGGGUAGUGUAGACGGUUUGAGCUUUUCUCACCAGGGAGAGGCACAGAGGCAAAGACACAAGCUCAGAGCCAAGGUGGUGGCUCCCAGCGCCCACUCACCCCGCCUCUCGGCAGCCUGGCCCAGGAACCCCGUUUCCCUCCCUGUGCCGCCUGCCUCCCCACCCUGAGCCCAGAGACCCUCAGCCCCCAUGGGGCAUCUUCCUCAGGCCUCCCUGAGCCAGGCUGCCCUCAGGGUCUGCCUUUGCCUGGAGGAAACGUGGUAAUGGGCUCUUGGGCCUGAACAUGGGAUCAAGGGUCACCCAAGAUGGCAGCGCCCAGCAUGGGAUUUCUCUGACAUUUUCUUCAUGUCACACAAGGGACCUGAGCUCCACGUGGGCAGGAAACAUAUUGGGUUUUGCUCCCUGGUGAAGUUACAGUGCUGGGCACACAAGCAGGGAAUAGAGGCCACUGGCUGAAUGAUUAAAAGAAUGAAUUCCUACCUGAACGAAUGAACGGAUGAGGAACAAGUGAAGGCCUGAAUGAAUGAAUGACUGGAUGAAUGAGUGAGUGAGUGAGGCCAUGAGUGAAUGAGUGGAUGAAUAAGCCAGUGAACGGAAACACAGACGCCGCGAUGCAAACGGGAGGAGGCUCUAUUUCUUGUCCUGGGGCCUCUGCCCAGCUCAAGGGCCCAGCCAGUCCCUGGCGCUCCUGGCCUCCGUUUCCCCACUGUCCCCUGAGGGGCGGGUGGUGGGGCUGCAGCAGCCCAGCUUGGCAUGGCCAUGGCCGGGAUCUCCCCGCGGGCUGUGGCGGGGACGCGCUCGGGGCCGCACGGCCUCCCUCCAGCGGCGGACAUGGGCGGA
rnacentral:lncRNA from 1 species